rnacentral:lncRNA from 1 species
UGCGAAAAUUUCACAGUUUUCUCAAAUUCCUCAUCCUUGGUUCAUCUUCUCUGCUCUUCUCCUCGGAACUAUUAGGUUUUACUGCAUUCUAUCAGGUGAGUUUUGUUUUGUGCUGCUCUUUUUCCUUCCGUUUUCUCGCCUUACCCAUGUAUCUGGAUCUGGUAAUUUUUAAGUUCCAUUUCGAAUCAUAAUUUUUGAGAUGAUUUUAAGUGUAUUUUUUUAAGCUGCUUGCUUAGUUUCGAAUAGUUGCCCGACCUCAGUUAACUUUUCCUUCUGUCUACUUUUUGGUUGUGAAUAGAAAACUGAGUUUUUCCUCGGAACUAAAGUGUUAUUGGACAUUUAAUUUUAAUAUUUAACAGUGACUAUAACUUUGGAUGAAAUUUGUCAUUUAUGAUUUAUGGAUAUGUAAAUUUACUCUAUUGUGGUGAUGUGUAUAAGGUAAUUAAAAUAUGAUUUGAGAAUGUUGGUAGUUUAGAGCGUGCAACCUAUUUACUACAUGCGAUGUUGCUUUUUCUAUGCAACCAUAUCUUACUAGGAAAGAACUGCUCAUGUAGAAGCAAUAAUAGAUUUCCUUUAUUUAGUAAUUUACAUCCUUGGAAUAUCUAAUUGGUAUAUUUAAAGAAAUUAAAAGUUGUGCAACCUCUAUUUUGACUGAAACUGAAAAUUAGUAAUUUCAUUUGGUUUUCUUAAGUUUUUGCUUGGACAACAAGCUCACUCCCGAUCAAUAUUGACUAUUACUGAAAAGAUCUUGCUUUUAAGUACAACAAACUGGAUCACACCCUGCAAGAUCACUCCCGAUCAAUAUUGACUAUUACUGAAAAGAUGUAGCUUAUGAUUAUCACAAAAUUUGACUUAAUAGGAUAAAUUAUAUAACCUUUGUAACCUGAAUACUCCUACAAACUUUUAGUGUUGUUUACGAGCGGAAUGGAUCAAAAGUUCCAGGGAGAGAAAAGAGAGAGAAAAAAACGAGCACUUUGGGCCACGGAGUCAAUGUUUAAAGGGGUUUAAUUUCUUUCACUCUCAUCAAUGUCAAUCUCAUAUUGUAUCCACGCAUAAAGUUUCAUAGAUGCACAUGAGAAGAAUUCUCUACUCUCUUUUUUUAGCAUUAUGAAAAGUCUAAAAAUCAUAUUUGUUAAAUGAGAUAUAUAGCUUAUGGUUGGUACUAUAUAUAUAUAUAUACACACACACAUGCAUACAUGCACACACACAGAGCUCAUGGUUGACAGAUACUACAGUGUUACUUUGAUAUGAUGAGAAGAGGAGGCUUAAAAUUGGUUGCUGCCAUCUAACAUAUUAACUGUGAGAUUCAUUACUUCUCGAGACACAAUCUUACUAGAAAUUAAAUACAUAAGCUUACUGCCACAUUGAAUUUCUUCAUUUUAUGUCUUGAAGUUCGUAUAAUUGAAAAUAUUUGAAGGAAAAAAUAGAAUGAGUCUGAAACAAGUCUUGGUGCCCAUUUGGAUAGGCUUGUUGUAAGUGACUUUUAAGCCAAAAGUCAUAAGUUAGAAAUUCUAGCUUUUGGCUUAUUUUUGUCAUUUUAACUUAAAAAUAUGUGCUUAAAAGCAUUUUUUUUACUUUAUCCAAACAUUACAAAAUGACUUAAAAGCUACUUUGGCUUUAAAACACGUAAAAUAAACCAAUUCAAACGGGCCAUUGGUCAAAGGAAGAAUUGUUAGCAAGAGAUGGCUGCUACAUUACAAGCUCAUCACUACAACAAAUUGGAUCACACCCUGAAAACUUGUAAGUUAACUCAAAUACAGAAUAUCUUGCUUUUAGUUCAAGUAAAUCAAAGACCAAGAAUGCAUGGAUAAAGUUGUAGAGUAAUACUCCAUACCGUCUUAAAACUUGUAACACGACUUGUACAUAUUUAAUAGCAUUGAUAUUAAAUGUGAACACUUAGAUUUUUUUUUAACUGUGCAAGAUCAAAAGGUUUUGCGGCUACACUAAAAUUUAAGAGUUUACAGAUUGGUACAUUCUCUAAGUACUUGCAUGCAAAGCUAGCAACGACUAAUUUAUUUUGGUUUUGGUGUUUUGUUCAUUUGAGUUUUAUAAAUUAUUUAUUGUUGGUCAAAGUAGCUGAAUAGAUGGUUUGUUCUAUCCUACGUCUACAAAACACUAAUUGAAGUUAACCAAGUAUUGUUGAUUUUUCGGUGUUGCAAAAAGAAAUAUGGAGGACAGUGUUCACAUUAGCUUAUCAGUGUUUAGGAGUUAUUUAUGGGUAUUGAGUACCUCCCCACUCUAUAUACAUAGAGUACUUCUGCUGAAGACAUUGAACACUCAGAGACCAAUGAUGAAAUUUAUGGUGUUCUGUCAUUUAUCUUUUGGACAGACUUUGACUCCUCUUUAAUGUAUAUCAACAUUGCGUGUAAAGCUGGUGAUAAUGGUGAAAGAGGUACAUUAGACUUUAACUCCUCUUUAAAGUAUAUCAACAGUGAUAAUGGUGAAAGACGCAUAUUUUCUCUUCAUUCACUCCUCCGUAUACAUGCCAAAGUGAAUUCAUUGUCCAGCUCCCAGUUAGCAGAUGAAGAAUUAUAAACCUACAAAAGAAAUAUCAGUACUCAUGUGCAAAAAUGACUUUGAGGUAAAACUUAAAUCAACUCAGGAGAGGUAUAGAGCAUUACUCAUAUUACUACUUUUGUUGGCUCUAAUUAGAGCUUGUAUGGUAAUAGGGCAUGACAUUCUUACACGUGCUAUUCUAUCAUGUUACUUAUUUUUGGUUGAUUGAAAUCUUAAUUUGGAGCUUUUGAAGUUUUAAUUGUUGUAAACUUAAAUUCAUUUUCUGGAGUUCCUUGCAGUUUUUACAGUGAUUUAUAGUGCUAAACUUUCCUUAGGAAAAGAAUGCUUAUGUAAGAUAAAGACAAUGAGGAUGACAUGAGGCACAAUCAGAAGCUAUUCUUGCUUGUUUUGUGCGCAUGAUAUAAUUCGUUAUUCACUUUCAUUUGCUAAAUUUACGAUCUCUCUUUUGUGAGUGUUUUAACAUAACUUAUUUAACUUCAUGACAGACUACAAAUGUACAAAAUCCUCAACCUGCUAGAGGACACCUUAGCGGAUGCAACAAUAGCAUUAUGUUUGAUAAUUGGUAAAGUGUGAUAAGGUCUUGAAAAACUGGCUAUAAUAGUGAAGACAAUGUAUGUUUUUCCUUAGAAAUGUGUUGCAUCUAUCUGAUCAGUAAUACUGUGUAGGCCAAAAUUCUGUUAUAGUAAGUCUUCCAAUUAUCAUUCUUAAGUCCUAACUACUCUAUAUUUGCU